rnacentral:rRNA from 1 species
GACGAACGCUGGCGGCGUGCUUAACACAUGCAAGUCGAACGGAAAGGCCCUGCUUUUGUGGGGUGCUCGUGUGGCGAACGGGUGUGUAACACGUGUGUAACCUGCCCUUGACUGUGGGAUAACUUCAGGAAACUGGGGAUAAUACCGGAUAGGCGCUCCUUCUGCAUGGUGGGGGUUGGAAAGUUUCGGCGGUUGGGGAUGGACUCGCGGCUUAUCAUCUUGUUGGUGGGGUAGUGGCUUACCAAGGCUUUGACGGGUAGCCGGCCUGAGAGGGUGACCGGCCACAUUGGGACUGGGAUACGGCCCAGACUCCAACGGGAGGAAGCAGUGGGGAAUAUUGCACAAUGGGCGGAAGCCUGAGGCAGCAACGCCGCGUGCGGGAGGACGGCCUUCGGGUGGUAAACCGCUUUGGCCUGUGACGAAGCGUGAGUGACGGUAAUGGGUAAAGAAGCACCGGCUAACUACGUG